rnacentral:rRNA from 1 species
UACGAGGGGGGCAAGCGUUGUUCGGAAUUACUGGGCGUAAAGCGCGUGUAGGCUGUUCGGAAAGUCGGGUGUGAAAGCCCUGGGCUCAACCUAGGAAGUGCACUCGAAACUCCCGAACUGGAGUCCCGGAGAGGAAGGUGGAAUUCUCGGUGUAGAGGUGAAAUUCGUAGAUAUCGAGAGGAACAUCGGUGGCGAAGGCGGCCUUCUGGACGGUGACUGACGCUGAGACGCGAAAGCGUGGGGAGCAAACAGG